rnacentral:rRNA from 1 species
UACGUAGGUGGCAAGCGUUGUCCGGAUUUACUGGGCGUAAAGAGCGCGCAGGCGGUCGUCCAAGUCGAAUGUGAAAGCCCCCGGCUCAACUGGGGAGGGUCAUUGGAAACUGGGGGACUUGAGUACAGAAGAGAAGAGUGGAAUUCCACGUGUAGCGGUGAAAUGCGUAGAGAUGUGGAGGAACACCAGUGGCGAAGGCGGCUCACUGGCUCAUAUCUGACGCUCAGGCGCGACAGCGUGGGGAUCAAACAGG